GUUGGUGGAGGGGGCGUGGAGGGGGACGGGGUCACUGGGGACGGGCAGUGAGGAGGGCACGGGGUGUGAUGAGCACGGGUGUUGUGUGCAGCUGACGAAUCACUAAAUUCUACCUCUGACACUAGUAAUACAGUAUAUGUCAAUUAAAUUGAAUUUAGGUAAAAAAAAAUUAGCCACACCUAGACAUAAACUACAUCUCAAACACUUUCUAAGAAUCCGUAAUAUUAACAAGUUUACAUUUGUAUUAGUUUCCUAUGGCUGCUGUAAUAUUACCGUGAACUCAGUGGCUUAAAACACGAUUACUCUCUCACGGUUCUGGAAGCCAGAAGUCCAGAGUCGGUGUGUAGACCAAGAUCAAGGGGUCAGCGGGGCCCUGACUCCCUGGAGCCGCUGGGGAGUAACCCCGCGCUGGUGACUGAUGGCAUCUGGAGGCUGAUGGCCUUCCUUGACUUCCAAGCUCUGCCUCCGAGCUCACGCUGCUUUCUCCCCAUGUGUAAUCGUCCUCUUACUAAUGUGUGAUUCCAUUUAGGGUCCGCCUGGAUAAUCUCAUCCCAAGAUCCUCUAACCGAAUCACAUCUGCAAAGACCCUUCCCCACAUAACACAGCAGUUACAGGGUGCAGGGAUGCGGACCUGGUAUCUCUGGGGGCUGUUGCUCAGCCUUCUGCAACAUGAAUAAACAUAUUUACUUUAUGCCACGUUACACCUUGAGCACUUCAGAAAUAGGAAUUUUUGCUCACCAACAGUCUACGAGAUAGGUGCAGGUGCUGUUGUUAUUCUCAUUUUUAGUAAGGCAAAACUGAGGUAGAGGAAGUAUAACUCACCUAAGCUGUGUCAUACCCACAUGUUCUCUGGCCACGAUGCAAUUACUUAGAAAUCAAUAACAAAAUAUUUAACUUUUAUCCUGAAAAAAAUUCAGAUUUAUAGGAAUUUUGCAAAGCAGUACAUAGAAUUGCCAUAUACCACCUUUCACCUAUAUUCUUCCAAUGUUAACAUUUUAACACAUUUGUUUAAUCAUUUUCUGUCACAUAAUUUUUUCUGAGCCCUUUGAGAUUAAGUUGCAUAGUUAAUGUCUCAUUAUCCCUAAAUACUCUAGUGUGUAUUUCCUAAAAAACAAGAGCUUUUUUACUUUUUUACAGCACAACGAUCAAACUCAGGAAAUUAACACGGUACAGUGUGAUUACCUAAGCUACAUGCCUUACUCAAAUCUCACCCAUUGUCUCAAACAUGUCAUUCUUAAUCAAGAUUCAACCCAAGAUCAUGUUAACAUUUACUUGUCACAUUUCUUUAAUCUGAAACUUUUGACAAAUUUAAUUUGGUUCUUUAAAAACUACUAAGGGAGACAAAUUUCUAGCAAAAUGGUCAGGGAAAAGAAGGUGAGAAGACACAGAGGAUAUUGGGAAAGGAACGAGCAAGCUCAAAAAAAAUCUAAGAUUCCUCAAGUUAUGACAAUAAAUUUGGGAAAAAACAGGAGUCAAUGCUUAGAAUUUUUUUUUUCAAAAUUGACUCAAAAAAAAAAAUCAAAAGCUUGAGUAGUCUUAUCACCAUGAAAGCAACAUCAGCAGUAGUUAAAAAUCUUCCCACAAGUAAAUACCAGGGUCAGAUGCUUUUAUAAACUUCGAAGGACAAAGACUGCUCCGAUCUUCUCGUCUUCCAGAGCCCAGUAAAAUGAACCACAUUCCCCAGCUCAUUUAAUGCAGUUACAGUAUCGACACGAAAGGCAGACCGGUUCCUAAAUACAGAUGCAAAAAUUCCAAGUAAAAUACCAGCAGCUUGAAUCCAGCAGUCCAACGAGAGCAAAUGAUGACCAAGGACGUAAAGAGGUUUCCGCACAGCCCUCUGCUGAAAGAAUCCCAUUCUGUAAGGAAUUCAGGUUCUGUCCACAUGUGCAGGUUUUCAUCACGAGGUGAGCAGCAAAGUACAAAGCCGUGAGGCCUUCAACAUUUCUAACUGAAUUCGUUUCUAACGUGUUCGACAGAGAGCUUUGAGAAUUUCCUUUGACACUGUAACUGCAGAGCAAGUAGCAGAAUCCGGGGCCACCCAACCCUCAGGUAAUUGCUGGUGUCAACAGACUUAAAAAAAAAAAAAAUCAGAGCACUACCUGAGUUCAUCCUGCGAGGCGUCACCGCACGCCACCACUCGCCGCUCACUGGGCAGUUCUGCUGUUUCAACGCGACAAACGAUCCCACAACGGGAGCUCAUCUCUUUAGGGCAGGGCCACGGUUGAGGAGGCCGAGAAGGAGGACAACACCUGCAGUCCCUCCCAGCGCGUGCUGGAUGGGCACAGACCAGCAGAGCGGCGACGUCAUGACGCGGGCCACAUGAUCCUGUCGUGCUCCCCAUGCCACCGCUCGGAUGGGCGAGAGAAUGAGAAGCGUGAGCCUGCGGAUUCUACAAAUCAUUCUUUUACUUUACUGGUUCGGGUUCAAACCUUACCUGGCACGCAUCAGACUAGGACAUCACGCGGAAACGCACGUAAAUCUAAAAAGCGUGCUCCACUAUUUUGAAAGUUCAGAGUGUGCUGGGCUCUCUUUUAAUGACUUCACCUGCCUAGAGACAGAUUUUCAUGCCACUAUCUUCAGUCUUGAGUGUCAGAUACAAGAGGAUACUUGCCAAGUUGAAGUAGGAAAAGCUACAGCUCUGGAGUUUGGAGAUGGCGACAGGAUUUCCUGGUCAGAACACAACUGUUUUCCAACUUGGAUAGAAGAGAACAUAUUUUGCGUGUUUGUACAUCGAUCCCUCCCCAGCGCUACAGCCUCCACCGAAAACUACUUACUACCCACAACAGUCAACCAAACAACGUGUGAGAGUAAAUGAAAUAUCGCCCAGGUGGUUUCACCAUUUCAACAACAAAAUGAGAGAGAAAAAGGCAAUGUGUUUUUCAUAAAACUAAGUUUAUUCAAUUUGAA